GAUCAUGGCCCAGGAUGAACGCUAGCUACAGGCUUAACACAUGCAAGUCGAGGGGCAGCAUGGUCUUAGCUUGCUAAGGCCGAUGGCGACCGGCGCACGGGUGAGUAACACGUAUCCAACCUGCCGUCUACUCUUGGACAGCCUUCUGAAAGGAAGGUUAAUACAAGAUGGCAUCAUGAGUCCGCAUGUUCACAUGAUUAAAGGUAUUCCGGUAGACGAUGGGGA
rnacentral:rRNA from 1 species